rnacentral:misc_RNA from 1 species
CAAUCGUUCCUUUUGUGGACGCGUAUACAUAGUUUUUCUCAUCGGACGGUGCUUGAAAUUUUACUAAAAUUCUCAAACUUAUCUGAAGAAAAAACAGAAUAAGCAAAAUGAAUGAGGGGAGUGAAUACUCCAUACAUUCGAUAUGUCGUGUUUGCUUGAACCAUUUGCGAAACGACCCAGCCUACGACCUGUUUCUAGUCCCAGGUCUCGCUAAGAAACUUUGUGUGUGCACUUCACUCUCCGUGGAACAGCACGAUGGGUUCCCCAAAAACCUUUGCACCACUUGCUACACCCGGCUCAACGACUUACACGGAUUUCAGAAACAGUGUGUGGACUCCGCCCAAAAGUUUCAAGAAAUGGUGGCCAACAAUUAUUUCACACCCGUUAUUGCUGAUAUUAAUCAAAUUGACAAUGUCGACAUACUGCAUGUACCGCCGCCGGAUGGAGAAAUGGAUGAGGAUCGUAUCAAUUUCGAUCCGCUUCUGAAUACUAAAAUUGAGAUAAUCGAAAAUGAGGAGGAUGUUUUUAAAAUGCUAGAGGAUGUCGACAAAGAAGUGGAGGAGGUAGAGAAGGAGAAGCAAUCAUCCAGUGAAAGCGAAGCCGACAACGACGAUGAUGAUGGUGACUUUGAAGCGAAUAGCAGCGAAUCUGAUGACGCCAUGCCCUUGUCUCGUUUAAGAAGUAGUACCAGAGCAUCAAAGGCCAAGGCUAAGAAAAAUAAUGAUGAUGAAGAUGACUCCUCAAGCUCUGAUUCGGACGAUGAUGAUGAUGACGAUGAUGACGAUGACGAUAAGCCCAAAUCGAAACCAAAACGCAAACGCAUUCCGGCCGCUGAGCGACACCUACAUCGUCUAAUAGACUGUCAUAUAUGUCACCAGAAAUUCAAGAAAGCAAUUCGCUAUGAAGAGCACAUGAAGCAUCACAACGAUCUAUUGCCAUUCCAGUGCACUGUGGAGACCUGCAAGAAGGGUUUCACUACGGCUGGUGGUCUGCGACUGCACAUGGAUCACGCUCAUUCGGAAUUCUCUGAGGUACACGCCUGCACUUUUGAGGGAUGCGACAAGACAUUCCCACGAUCUGUUUUGCUCACGUUCCAUAUGAAAAAGGUUCACAAAGUUGCCAAGGCUGACACACGAAAUCAUCCUUGCACGGAGUGUGAAAAAGUUUUUCGCUGCCCAACGGCGCUCAAAAAACAUAUGUAUAAGCACACGGGCGAGGAACUGCCUUAUGCAUGUGAAAUUUGCGGCAAACGUUUCCACAUACACAGUGUGCUAAGGGACCAUCUCUUGCGGCAUGCCGGCGUUAAAAACCAUGUUUGUCCCUAUUGCGGUGUGGGCAAAACAACUCGACAGGAGUGGAACAAGCACAUAUUGACGCACACCAGAGAAAAACAGUUUCAAUGUCGUCAAUGCGAUCAUUCAUCCCACAACAAACAGGCACUCUCUAAUCAUGUCAAAGUGGUUCACAUGAAGAUCAAGAACUUUGCCUGUCAGUAUUGCGGCAAAACUUUUGGAAAAUCGCACGCAUGCAAGAUCCACGAGAGACUCCACACUGGCGAGAAUUGUUGCGAGUGCAAGAUCUGUGGCAAGAUCUUCCUUUUCGAGAAGCGAUUGACCAAGCAUUUGCAGAUUCACGAGAAACGCGAGGUACCACCUCCGGAGACCACUGUUAAAUCUCAAGGCGAUGGCGACGCACAAACUACCCAGACUUUGAACCAGGAGUUGGCCGAGCCGGCGGAUAUAAAGCCCGUGCCAAUUGUUCCUCCUAAGCCGAAGAAUUCCCAUAGAGUUGAACGUGUUGAUAUAUCACAAUUGGCCGGAACCUCUGUUAAUCCAAUAUCAUCGGUUUCUGUACCAUCUUGGUCGCCACAAGUCAACUUCACCAAGAAAGAAGGUCAGCACAUUUGUCCGGGCUGCGGUCGUGGCUUCAAUCACAUUGGCAAUAUGAAACUUCACUACAAAAUAAUACACGAAAAGGUGAAGGACUUCGCCUGCCGCUAUUGUCCCAAGCGCUUCGCCAAGGCGCAGUACCUGCGCAAUCAUGAAUAUAUACAUACUGGCGAAAAGCCUUUUGAAUGCAAGAUAUGCGGCAAACAUUUCCGUCAGGAACAGGUGCUGAAGACACAUUUGAAGGUGCACGACAAGCCGCCGAAACCACCAAAAGCCAAGAAACCGCCAAAGCCUUCUGUUAGUAAAGCAAAGGGACUGAAGGUUGAACUCAACAAAAAGCAACCAAAGAUUUUUGAGGAGUAUCAGGAUCCCGCUGCAGAACGUGCCGCAGCUACCGCUGCCUUGCUAGCUCAACAGAUGGAGGAGAAUGAGGCGAAGCGAAAGGCGGAAGAGGAAACCCGUAAGAUUCAAGAGGCCGCUUGCGAGCAGCUCAAUAGACUCCAAAGGCAAGUGCAGAGUGAGAAGGGCUCCUAUGAUAGCUACUAUGGACAAAAAGCUGAAGCUGAAGGCACUAGCAUUGAUUCUCUCAAAUUAGAUCAUGUAUAAAUUGAAGCGCUAUCCCAGUCCACUUAAAAACCUUUAUGAACUAUGCGAAUUCCUCGAAUGGUUACAUAUUAUAACUUUAUCUGCUUAAACAUUUCAAAUAUGUAUUACAAAGUGAAUUACUAAUAGCUUAGCGGAGCAAACAUCUUCUGGGAUUCAACCAGGCUCCUGAUAAGAAGGAAUUACAGGCCUGCUGCCGUUCUUACCGAACCCAAAAGCCACACAGAACUCAGAAGCCGGUUAAAAGAAUUAGAAUAUGCUGAUGUCCUUGGAAGACAACGCACUGGGUACAAUACUAAAAGUUGAAAAAACUGGAACCGCGCAGUCUACCAGCCCGAACCCUAACUGUCUGUGGCAUUAAAUUCAAAAAUCUGCACGAUAAAAGUACGCAAACAAUACUUUAAAAUCUUUCAAGUUAUUUAGUUAAGCACCAUGAAAAUGACAACAUGAUUAUUAUA